UACGGGGGGGGCAAGCGUUUGUUCGGAAUUACUGGGCGUAAAGGGCUCGUAGGUGGCCAACUAAGUCAGACGUGAAAUCCCUCGGCUUAACCGGGGAACUGCGUCUGAUACUGGAUGGCUUGAGUUCGGGAGAGGGAUGCGGAAUUCCAGGUGUAGCGGUGAAAUGCGUAGAUAUCUGGAGGAACACCGGUGGCGAAGGCGGCAUCCUGGACCGACACUGACGCUGAGGGAGCGAAAGCCAGGGGAGCAAACGGGG
rnacentral:rRNA from 1 species